rnacentral:rRNA from 1 species
GACGAACGCUGGCGGCGUGCCUAAUACAUGCAAGUCGAACGAACCGCGACUAGGUGCUCGCACUUGGUCAAGGUGAGUGGCGAACGGGUGAGUAACAUGUGGGUAACCUACCUCAUAGUGGGGGGUAACAGUCGGAAACGACUGCUAAUACGGCAUAGGACAUAGGAUCACAUGAUUCUGUGAGGAAAGGUGGCGCGAGCUAUCGCUAAGAGAUGGACCCGCGGUGCAUUAGCUAGUUGGUAGGGUAAAGGCCUACCAAGGCGAUGAUGCAUAGCCGACCUGAGAGGGUGAUCGCCCACAUGGGGACUGAGACACGGCCCAUGCUCCUACGGGAGGCAGCAGUAGGGAAUCUUACGCAGAGGACGCGAGUCUGACGGAGCAACGCCGCGUGAGUGACGAAGGUCUUCGGAUCGUAAAGCUCUGUUGUUAGAGAAGAACAGCGCAUAGAGUAACUGUUAUGCGUGUGACGGUAACUAAUAAGAAAGCCACGGCUAACUACGUG